rnacentral:rRNA from 1 species
GCGAUGGAGGGGGAUAACUACUGGAAACGGGCGCUAAGACCGCAUAGCGUCGCAAGACCAAAGAGGGGGACCUUCGGCCCUCUUGCCCUCGGAUGUGCCCAGAUGGGAUUAUCUAGGAGGUGGGGUAACGGCUCAGCUACGACACUAUCCCUAUCUGGUCUGAGAAGAUGACCCGCCACUCUGGAACUGAGACACGGUCCACACUCCUACGGGACGCAGCAGUGGAGAAUAUUGCACAGUGGGCGCAAGCCUGACGCAGCCGUGCCGCGUGUAAGAAGAAUGUCUUCGGUUUGUAGAGUACUUUCAGCGAGGAAGAGUGCUUUGUGUUUAAUCACCACAGCGAUUGACGUUACUCGCACAACAAACACCGGCUAACUCCGUGCCAGCACCCGCGGUAACACAGAGGGUGCAAGCGUUAAUCAGAAUUACUGGGUGUAAAGCGCACACACGCGGUCUGUCGUGUCAUAUGUGAACUCCCCGGGCUCACUGUGAUAACUGUAUCCGACUCUGGCACGCUAGACUCUUGUAGAGGGGUGUAGAAUUCCGGGUGUAGCGGUAAAAUGCAUAGAGAUCUAGAAGAAUACCGGUGGCGAACGCGGCCCUCUGGACAAACACUGACUCACAUGUGCGAAAGCGUGGAGAACAAACAAGAUUAGAUACCCUGGUACUCCACGCCGUACACUAUCUCUACGUGCAUUUUGUGCCCUUGACGCGUGUCUUCCAGAUCUAACGCGAUAAGUCGACCGCGUGGGGAGUACGGCCGCGAGGAUAACUCUCAUAUGAAUUGACGGGCGCCCGCACCAGCUGUAGAACAUGUGUUAUAAUUCUAUGACACGCACAAAAUCUUACUCUCUCUUGACAUACAGAAGAACUUAACAAAUUAUGCUGUUGGUCCCUUUCGGAAACUCUGAAAACGGGCGCUGCAUGGCUGCUCUCCCGCUUGUGGUUGA